CCUACGGGGGGCAGCAGUGGGGAAUAUUGGACAAUGGGGGCAACCCUGAUCCAGCCAUGCCGCGUGUGUGAAGAAGGCCCUCGGGUUGUAAAACACUUUCAGUGAGGAAGAACGCCUGGUGGUUAAUACCCAUCAGGAAAGACAUCACUCACAGAAGAAGCACCGGCUAACUCCGUGCCAGCAGCCGCGGUAAUACGGAGGGUGCGAGCGUUAAUCGGAAUUACUGGGCGUAAAGCGCGCGUAGGUGGCUUGAUAAGCCGGUUGUGAAAGCCCCGGGCUCAACCUGGGAACGGCAUCCGGAACUGUCAAGCUAGAGUGCAGGAGAGGAAGGUAGAAUUCCCGGUGUAGCGGUGAAAUGCGUAGAGAUCGGGAGGAAUACCAGUGGCGAAGGCGGCCUUCUGGACUGACACUGACACUGAGGUGCGAAAGCGUGGGUAGCAAACAGGAUUAGAUACCCCAGUAGUC
rnacentral:rRNA from 1 species